GACCUCCCAACGCUUACCACAGGCUGUGUUCUUUACAAUGACUGUAUAGAAAGAGGAGGUACAUUAAAUGCACCCCAUAUACACCUCAACCCAGGCCCUUUGCCUGGUCUGUACUGUAAAUGGGUGAGAAAAAA